GAUGAACGCUGGCGGCGUGCCUAAUACAUGCAAGUCGAGCGAACAGAUGAGGAGCUUGCUCCUCUGACGUUAGCGGCGGACGGGUGAGUAAAACGUGGAUAACCUACCUAUAAGACUGGGAUAACUUCGGGAAACCGGAGCUAAUACCGGAUAAUAUAUUGAACCGCAUGGUUCAAUAGUGAAAGACGGUUUUGCUGUCACUUAUAGAUGGAUCCGCGCCGCAUUAGCUAGUUGGUAAGGUAACGGCUUACCAAGGCAACGAUGCGUAGCCGACCUGAGAGGGUGAUCGGCCACACUGGAACUGAGACACGGUCCAGACUCCUACGGGAGGCAGCAGUAGGGAAUCUUCCGCAAUGGGCGAAAGCCUGACGGAGCAACGCCGCGUGAGUGAUGAAGAUCUUCGGAUCGUAAAACUCUGUUAUUAGGGAAGAACAAAUGUGUAAGUAACUAUGCACGUCUUGACGGUACCUAAUCAGAGAGCCACGGCUAACUACGUG
rnacentral:rRNA from 1 species